rnacentral:lncRNA from 1 species
AUUUACAAGAAAAAUGCAAAUAAAAUUGAAUUUUAACCAAUUGUUGACUUUGGUCAACAGUUGACUUUUUGGUCAACUUUGACCAAAGUCAACCCUAUGCCAUUGGUCAUCCUUAAUCACUAAAUGACUAGUCCUAACUCUCAUGACAUUAUCCAUGUCCAUGUGAUCUUUGGUUUAACCACUUGUGCUUGGCUUCUUCACUUUAAUGUCAACAUGGUCACACCUUGAACCUUUGGAAUCUUGCUUUGCCAAUUAACUUCCAUCAUACUGCAUUUGCCCUGCUAUACCAACCUGCUGCAACGCC